rnacentral:lncRNA from 13 species
CAGAGAUAUCAGGAAGCUGACCUUGAUAAGAAUCCUUAUCUUUUGCUGGCUUUUGUCAGUUGUCCCAGGGUUUCACCUGUUGGCUCCAGAGCAAGUCAGGUGUCUCAGCUGUCCUUCAAUGGGUGCCAGAAACUAUAGGGGAGGAAAGAUUUAUUUCUUCACCCAUUGAUGGCUGAGACAACUACAAUGAAAGACAAAUUAACAGGAAAAAAUGCAAAUGUAUCUAAUAUAAGUUUUAUAUGACAUGGGAGCCUUCGGAAAUGAAGACCAAAAGAAGCAAGAAAACCGGUGUGUUUUUAUGCAUGGGUUUGAUGAAGAGCGGAGUCAUGCUGAAUUAUGAUUAGACAAAGGGGUUACAGUCUAAUGUUAAUAAGCUAGGCAGAAUUUAGCAAGGCUUAUUUGUACAGUUUCUUUUCUGUCUCAGCGUCUUCAGAGAUAAUAACAUUUCUAUCUUGCAGGUAUAGGGAGGGCACUUCUGGGUUGAGUCUUAUGAUCUUCUUCAAGAGAAGGGCUACUAAGUUUUAUGACCUGCUUCAAGGAAGAGGUAGCAAGGGAAGGGGUCCACCUCAACUAAAAACUAUGAAGAAUAGAGAAAAAAAUUAUUUUCCCUUCUACAUAUACAUUUAAAAGACUGAGAAUUAAGAGUUGUUCAUGGUUCUGCAGACUGAGGAUUAAGAGAGCUAUGGCAUCAGCAUCUGCUUGGCCCUUAGUGAGGAGCACCUGCUGCACCUUAACAUGGUAAGAAGGUCAAAGGGGAAGUGGACACAUGCAAACAGACAGAAAAGAAGAGAGAAAAAACUUGAGGAGUAUCUUGGCUUU